ACUCCUACGGGAGGCAGCAGUAGGGAAUCUUCCGCAAUGGACGAAAGUCUGACGGAGCAACGCCGCGUGAGUGAUGAAGGUUUUCGGAUCGUAAAGCUCUGUUGUUAGGGAAGAACAAGUGCCGUUCGAAUAGGGCGGUACCUUGACGGUACCUAACCAGAAAGCCACGGCUAACUACGUGCCAGCAGCCGCGGUAAUACA
rnacentral:rRNA from 1 species